GCAAAAACUGCGAUUCCGAUGUUGUGGUGAGUGUUGUAUUCGAUUCCGAUGGAGUCGCUACCGAAUUUCAGUCCGGUGGCCCAUCCGGAUACUCCGACGACAUAGGCGGAAGCUUGGCAGGUGACGUGGAUCAGGAUCUUCGAAGGAGGUAGUGGUGGCCUCUCGCCACCAUAUGCUCGGUCCAAGGAGCUUCUCAAUGUAUAGCAGGUCACCGUCGUGCGCACAGAAGAGAUCGGCCUCUCCGGUGAAGUACCUUCAUUAUCUCCGUAAGCAUAUGAACACAAAGUCGUACCAUGGUCCCAUUCACUUCCGUGCUCCUUCAAAGAUCCUGUGGCGACGAUGGAGGCGCCGAGACAUUCAACAACGACGGCAAGAGAGAGACGGAAGGAAGAGGGUUUCGAUUUCAUUCCGAUGGCGGCUGCUGUGUGUGUAUUCCGAUGGCGGCUGCUGUGUGUGUAGUGUUGUGUUUAGAGCAGAUUAGGGUAAC
rnacentral:lncRNA from 1 species